ensembl:lncRNA
GUUCCCUUUCUUUUUUUGGAAUUGCUUAGCAGUCUAAGUCAUUUUUUUUUUUUUUUUUUUUUUUUUUUUUUUUUUUUUUUUUUUUUUUUUUUUUUUUUUUUUUUUUUUUUUUUUUUUUUUUUUUUUUUUUUUUUUUUUUUUUUUUUUUUUUUUUUUUUUUUUUUUUUUUUUUUUUUUUUUUUUUUUUUUUUUUUUUUUUUUUUUUUUUUUUUUUUUUUUUUUUUUUUUUUUUUUUUUUUUUUUUUUUUUUUUUUUUUUUUUUUUUUUUUUUUUUUUUUUUUUUUUUUUUUUUUUUUUUUUUUUUUUUUUUUUUUUUUUUUUUUUUUUUUUUUUUUUUUUUUUUUUUUUUUUUUUUUUUUUUUUUUUUUUUUUUUUUUUUUUUUUUUUUUUUUUUUUUUUUUUUUUUUUUUUUUUUUUUUUUUUUUUUUUUUUUUUUUUUUUUUUUUUUUUUUUUUUUUUUUUUUUUUUUUUUUUUUUUUUUUUUUUUUUUUUUUUUUUUUUUUUUUUUUUUUUUUUUUUUUUUUUUUUUUUUUUUUUUUUUUUUUUUUUUUUUUUUUUUUUUUUUUUUUUUUUUUUUUUUUUUUUUUUUUUUUUUUUUUUUUUUUUUUUUUUUUUUUUUUUUUUUUUUUUUUUUUUUUUUUUUUUUUUUUUUUUUUUUUUUUUUUUUUUUUUUUUUUUUUUUUUUUUUUUUUUUUUUUUUUUUUUUUUUUUUUUUUUUUUUUUUUUUUUUUUUUUUUUUUUUUUUUUUUUUUUUUUUUUUUUUUUUUUUUUUUUUUUUUUUUUUUUUUUUUUUUUUUUUUUUUUUUUUUUUUUUUUUUUUUUUUUUUUUUUUUUUUUUUUUUUUUUUUUUUUUUUUUUUUUUUUUUUUUUUUUUUUUUUUUUUUUUUUUUUUUUUUUUUUUUUUUUUUUUUUUUUUUUUUUUUUUUUUUUUUUUUUUUUUUUUUUUUUUUUUUUUUUUUUUUUUUUUUUUUUUUUUUUUUUUUUUUUUUUUUUUUUUUUUUUUUUUUUUUUUUUUUUUUUUUUUUUUUUUUUUUUUUUUUUUUUUUUUUUUUUUUUUUUUUUUUUUUUUUUUUUUUUUUUUUUUUUUUUUUUUUUUUUUUUUUUUUUUUUUUUUUUUUUUUUUUUUUUUUUUUUUUUUUUUUUUUUUUUUUUUUUUUUUUUUUUUUUUUUUUUUUUUUUUUUUUUUUUUUUUUUUUUUUUUUUUUUUUUUUUUUUUUUUUUUUUUUUUUUUUUUUUUUUUUUUUUUUUUUUUUUUUUUUUUUUUUUUUUUUUUUUUUUUUUUUUUUUUUUUUUUUUUUUUUUUUUUUUUUUUUUUUUUUUUUUUUUUUUUUUUUUUUUUUUUUUUUUUUUUUUUUUUUUUUUUUUUUUUUUUUUUUUUUUUUUUUUUUUUUUUUUUUUUUUUUUUUUUUUUUUUUUUUUUUUUUUUUUUUUUUUUUUUUUUUUUUUUUUUUUUUUUUUUUUUUUUUUUUUUUUUUUUUUUUUUUUUUUUUUUUUUUUUUUUUUUUUUUUUUUUUUUUUUUUUUUUUUUUUUUUUUUUUUUUUUUUUUUUUUUUUUUUUUUUUUUUUUUUUUUUUUUUUUUUUUUUUUUUUUUUUUUUUUUUUUUUUUUUUUUUUUUUUUUUUUUUUUUUUUUUUUUUUUUUUUUUUUUUUUUUUUUUUUUUUUUUUUUUUUUUUUUUUUUUUUUUUUUUUUUUUUUUUUUUUUUUUUUUUUUUUUUUUUUUUUUUUUUUUUUUUUUUUUUUUUUUUUUUUUUUUUUUUUUUUUUUUUUUUUUUUUUUUUUUUUUUUUUUUUUUUUUUUUUUUUUUUUUUUUUUUUUUUUUUUUUUUUUUUUUUUUUUUUUUUUUUUUUUUUUUUUUUUUUUUUUUUUUUUUUUUUUUUUUUUUUUUUUUUUUUUUUUUUUUUUUUUUUUUUUUUUUUUUUUUUUUUUUUUUUUUUUUUUUUUUUUUUUUUUUUUUUUUUUUUUUUUUUUUUUUUUUUUUUUUUUUUUUUUUUUUUUUUUUUUUUUUUUUUUUUUUUUUUUUUUUUUUUUUUUUUUUUUUUUUUUUUUUUUUUUUUUUUUUUUUUUUUUUUUUUUUUUUUUUUUUUUUUUUUUUUUUUUUUUUUUUUUUUUUUUUUUUUUUUUUUUUUUUUUUUUUUUUUUUUUUUUUUUUUUUUUUUUUUUUUUUUUUUUUUUUUUUUUUUUUUUUUUUUUUUUUUUUUUUUUUUUUUUUUUUUUUUUUUUUUUUUUUUUUUUUUUUUUUUUUUUUUUUUUUUUUUUUUUUUUUUUUUUUUUUUUUUUUUUUUUUUUUUUUUUUUUUUUUUUUUUUUUUUUUUUUUUUUUUUUUUUUUUUUUUUUUUUUUUUUUUUUUUUUUUUUUUUUUUUUUUUUUUUUUUUUUUUUUUUUUUUUUUUUUUUUUUUUUUUUUUUUUUUUUUUUUUUUUUUUUUUUUUUUUUUUUUUUUUUUUUUUUUUUUUUUUUUUUUUUUUUUUUUUUUUUUUUUUUUUUUUUUUUUUUUUUUUUUUUUUUUUUUUUUUUUUUUUUUUUUUUUUUUUUUUUUUUUUUUUUUUUUUUUUUUUUUUUUUUUUUUUUUUUUUUUUUUUUUUUUUUUUUUUUUUUUUUUUUUUUUUUUUUUUUUUUUUUUUUUUUUUUUUUUUUUUUUUUUUUUUUUUUUUUUUUUUUUUUUUUUUUUUUUUUUUUUUUUUUUUUUUUUUUUUUUUUUUUUUUUUUUUUUUUUUUUUUUUUUUUUUUUUUUUUUUUUUUUUUUUUUUUUUUUUUUUUUUUUUUUUUUUUUUUUUUUUUUUUUUUUUUUUUUUUUUUUUUUUUUUUUUUUUUUUUUUUUUUUUUUUUUUUUUUUUUUUUUUUUUUUUUUUUUUUUUUUUUUUUUUUUUUUUUUUUUUUUUUUUUUUUUUUUUUUUUUUUUUUUUUUUUUUUUUUUUUUUUUUUUUUUUUUUUUUUUUUUUUUUUUUUUUUUUUUUUUUUUUUUUUUUUUUUUUUUUUUUUUUUUUUUUUUUUUUUUUUUUUUUUUUUUUUUUUUUUUUUUUUUUUUUUUUUUUUUUUUUUUUUUUUUUUUUUUUUUUUUUUUUUUUUUUUUUUUUUUUUUUUUUUUUUUUUUUUUUUUUUUUUUUUUUUUUUUUUUUUUUUUUUUUUUUUUUUUUUUUUUUUUUUUUUUUUUUUUUUUUUUUUUUUUUUUUUUUUUUUUUUUUUUUUUUUUUUUUUUUUUUUUUUUUUUUUUUUUUUUUUUUUUUUUUUUUUUUUUUUUUUUUUUUUUUUUUUUUUUUUUUUUUUUUUUUUUUUUUUUUUUUUUUUUUUUUUUUUUACCACAGUGUUCAGAGACUCAAUUUAAUUUCAAAGCCAAGAAGAAAGCAUGUGAUCAUUUCAAAACUACAAGAUUAA